rnacentral:rRNA from 1 species
UUUUUCGGUACGAGAUGAGCCCGCGGCCUAUCAGCUUGUUGGUGGGGUAAUGGCCUACCAAGGCGUCGACGGGUAGCCGGCCUGAGAGGGUGGACGGCCACAUUGGGACUGAGAUACGGCCCAGACUCCUACGGGAGGCAGCAGUGGGGAAUAUUGCACAAUGGGCGCAAGCCUGAUGCAGCGACGCCGCGUGAGGGAUGACGGCCUUCGGGUUGUAAACCUCUUUCGACAGGGACGAAGCUUUUUGUGACGGUACCUGUAUAAGAAGCACCGGCUAACUACGUGCCAGCAGCCGCGGUAAUACGUAGGGUGCGAGCGUUGUCCGGAAUUACUGGGCGUAAAGAGCUCGUAGGUGGUUUGUCGCGUCGUCUGUGAAAUUCCGGGGCUUAACUCCGGGCGUGCAGGCGAUACGGGCAUAACUUGAGUGCUGUAGGGGAGACUGGAAUUCCUGGUGUAGCGGUGGAAUGCGCAGAUAUCAGGAGGAACACCGAUGGCGAAGGCAGGUCUCUGGGCAGUAACUGACGCUGAGGAGCGAAAGCAUGGGGAGCGAACAGGAUUAGAUACCCUGGUAGUCCAUGCCGUAAACGGUGGGCGCUAGGUGUGAGGGUCUUCCACGACUUUCGUGCCGUAGCUAACGCAUUAAGCGCCCCGCCUGGGGAGUACGGCCGCAAGGCUAAAACUCAAAGGAAUUGACGGGGGCCCGCACAAGCGGCGGAGCAUGUGGAUUAAUUCGAUGCAACGCGAAGAACCUUACCUGGGCUUGACAUAUACAAGAUC